rfam:Eubacteriaceae bacterium CHKCI005 isolate CHKC5 genome assembly, contig: {contig33}
GUUGGUGUAUAUGACGAUGAGGGUCCACCCGUUCCCAUCCCGAACACGGUAGUUAAGCUCAUCGGUGACGACAAUACUUGGCUGGUGACGGCCUGGAAAGAUAGUUCUAUGCCAACA